rnacentral:tRNA from 2 species
GUUGGGGUGGCAGAGCCCGGAAAUUGCAAAAGACCUAAGCCCUUUACCACAGAGGUUCAAAUCCUCUCCUCAACU